rnacentral:rRNA from 1 species
AGCGAACGCUGGCGGCAGGCUUAACACAUGCAAGUCGAACGCCCCGCAAGGGGAGUGGCAGACGGGUGAGUAACACGUGGGAACGUACCCUUUGGUUCGGAAUAACUUGGGGAAACUCAAGCUAAUACCGGAUAAGCCCUUAUGGGGAAGGGUUUACUGCCGAAGAAUCGGCCCGCGUCUGAUUAGCUAGUUGGUGAGGUAAUGGCUCACCAAGGCGACGAUCAGUAGCUGGUCUGAGAGGAUGAUCAGCCACACUGGGACUGAGACACGGCCCAGACUCCUACGGGAGGCAGCAGUGGGGAAUAUUGGACAAUGGGGGCAACCCUGAUCCAGCCAUGCCGCGUGAGUGAUGAAGGCCUUAGGGUUGUAAAGCUCUUUUACCCGGGACGAUAAUGACUGUACCGGGAGAAUAAGCCCCGGCUAACUUCGUGCCAGCCGCCGCCGUAA